CAAAAGCGUAUAUUAAUAUUGUUGCAGUUAAAAAGCUCGUAGUUGGAUAUCUGGCUCAUGUACGGACGGCCCGCCCUCGUGGUAGUUGUGCUGAAAGUGCAGGCCUAUCUUCCGGUUUGUGGCGAUGGGCAUUUAGUUGUCGGCGUCUACGAUCCGGAUCGUUUACUUUGAAAAAAUCAGCGUGUUCAAAGCAGGCUUACGCCGUGAAUGUUGCAGCAUGGAAUAAUAACAUAGGACUGUGUGUCCAAUUUUGUUGGUUCUUGGACGAUAGUAAUGAUUGAUAGGGACAGUUGGGGGUGCUGCUAUUCCGCGGCCAGAGGUGAAAUUCUCAGAUUCCCGGAAGAGCAACUUAUGCGAAAGCAUUCACCAAGGAUGUCUUCUUUAA
rnacentral:rRNA from 1 species